rnacentral:lncRNA from 1 species
CGAGCCUGCAGCCGCAGCGCAGGGCAGGGGAGCGGCGGCGCGGCAGGCACAGCCUCCCGGCGGGCGCCCGGCGGAGCAGCAGGGCGGGCGGGCGUUGGCUGCGCCCGGCCCCGCCGCGCCGCCCCCGGCUCCGCCCGGCGCUCCCAUGGCGCGGCGGCCCCGCGCCAGGUGAGCAGCGCUGCCUGUUGCGCCGAGCGGAGCGGAGCGGAGCGGAGCCGCCGGGGCCACACGCCGAGAAGUUUUGCGAGAAGGCGCCGCGAUGUGAGUUGCGGCGCCCCGCCGAUGCACCGGGUGGGGGGCGGCAGCACCGGGAGAAAACUCGACGGGCAGGGAGCGGGGGAAGGCGAUCAGCGCUGCUGCCUCCGAGGGGUACCGCCGUGCCGUGCCGUGCCACCUUGCUCGGCAGCGAUCGGCGAGGGCCACCGGCGAUGCCCCCUCCCCCAGCCCGUGCUGGCGAACCUCCGGUGUCCGCAUGCUUCUAAGAAGGGUAUUGACCAUGAGGAAGCCUGUGUGCUAGUAACCAGUGUUUACUAAUCCCGCCGAAGAAAAUGAAGCCACGUUUCAGCUUUGCCGAUCCUUUUCCCACCCUAUUGGCUGAAUAAGAAAUGGUUGUGU